AUUUUGGUAUAAAAAAGUUGAUAAAAUAUAAAAACGAUCACGUUAUAUUAGUUAAAAAAAAAAAAAAGACGUUAACUUACUAAACAUCGAUAAAGAAGUAUCAUCGGUGGGUAUAUUUGCUCGUCAUUUUGCGAAUCGAGAUAAUAGCUAACAACCAUUUGAGUAUUCAUUAUUGAUAUACGUAGUUAAUUACGACCCAAAUGGAUAAAAAAAAGAUACGAUUAUUUUAAAAAGAAACAAACACGAACGAUUCUACUUUUAUUGCACUCGAUAACUUCGAAAAUGGAAAUUAUAUGGAAAUUAUUGACAAAUGUUUCCUUCGGACAAAUUUAAAGCUAUCUAACACGGUGAUUCACGUUCACGAAAACAGUGGGGGACAAAUGUGAUAUUUAAAA